GAUGAAGAACGUAGCAAAAUGCGAUAAGUAAUGUGAAUUGCAGAAUUCAGUGAAUCAUCGAAUCUUUGAACGCACAUUGCGCCCGCCAGUAUUCUGGCGGGCAUGCCUGUUCGAGCGUCAUUUCAACCCUCAAGCCCUCGGGUUUGGUGUUGGGGAUCGGCGAGCCUUUCUGGCAAGCCGGCCCCGAAAUCUAGUGGCGGUCUCGCUGCAGCCUCCAUUGCGUAGUAGUAAAACCCUCGCAACUGGAACGCGGCGCGGCCAAGCCGUUAAACCCCCAACUUCUGAAUGUUGACCUCGGAUCAGGUAGGAAUACCCGCUGAACUUAAGCAUAUCAAUAAGCGGAGGAA
rnacentral:misc_RNA from 1 species